CAUUCAAUAAGGGAGCUACCAUUUGAUUUUUAUGGGGGGGCUAGGAUGAAAAAUUUUGUCCUGCUUUUUUUUUUAGUUGUAAUCUCUGUCCUGCCUUUUUAUUUUUUACUCUAUUCGGUCCUGCCUUUUUUUUUACUAGUUAUCCUGACUUUUUUUACACAAAUUGUCAUCCUGCCUUUUUUUUUUUACCAAGUUGCUCAUCCUGCCUUUUUUUUUUACUCAAAACUCCUGUCCUGCCUAUUUUUUUCAAAUUUCAUCCUAGCCCCCCCAUAAAAAUCAAAUGGUAGCUCCCUAACCU
rnacentral:lncRNA from 1 species